GAUGAACGCUAGCGGCAGGCCUAAUACAUGCAAGUCGAACGGUGUCUUCGGACAUAGUGGCGCACGGGUGCGUAACACGUAUGCAACCUACCUUACAUUGGGGGAUAGCCUUUCGAAAGGGAGAUUAAUACCGCAUAAGACAGUAGCUGGGCAUCCAGCAGCUGUUAAAGAUUUAUCGAUGUAAGCUGGGCAUGCGUCCAAUUAGCUAGUUGGUGAGGUAACGGCUCACCAAGGCAAUGAUUGGUAGGGGAACUGAGAGGUCAAUCCCCCACACUGGCACGGAGAUACGGGCCAGACUCCUACGGGAGGUAGCAGUAGGGAAUAUUGGGCAAUGGACGCAAGUCUGACCCAGCCAUGCCGCGUGCAGGAUGAAGGCGUUAUGCGUUGUAAACUGCUUUUAUACAGGAAGAAACGACUCUUGCGAGAGGCAUUGACGGUACUGUAUGAAUAAGCACCGGCUAACUCCGUGCCAGCCGCCGCCGUAAUAC
rnacentral:rRNA from 1 species